UACAGAGGUCUCAAGCGUUGUUCGGAUUCAUUGGGCGUAAAGGGUGCGUAGGUGGCGGGGUAAGUCAGGUGUGAAAUCUCGGGGCUCAACCCCGAAACUGCACUUGAUACUGCCUUGCUCGAGUACUGGAGAGGAGAUUGGAAUUUACGGUGUAGCAGUGAAAUGCGUAGAUAUCGGGAGGAACACCAGUGGCGAAGGCGGCUACCUGGCCCACUCUUGACGCUGAGGCGCGAAAGCUAGGGGAGCAAACGGG
rnacentral:rRNA from 1 species